UGGGGAAUAUUGCACAAUGGGCGCAAGCCUGAUGCAGCCAUGCCGCGUGUAUGAAGAAGGCCUUCGGGUUGUAAAGUACUUUCAGUCGGGAGGAAGGUGGUAAGGUUAAUAACCUUGUCGAUUGACGUUACCCGCAGAAGAAGCACCGGCUAACUCCGUGCCAGCAGCCGCGGUAAUACGGAGGGUGCAAGCGUUAAUCGGAAUUACUGGGCGUAAAGCGCACGCAGGCGGUCUGUCAAGUCGGAUGUGAAAUCCCCGGGCUCAACCUGGGAACUGCAUUCGAAACUGGCAGGCUAGAGACUUGUAGAGGGGGGUAGAAUUCCAGGUGUAGCAGUGAAAUGCGUAGAGAUCUGGAGGAAUACCGGUGGCGAAGGCGGCCCCCUGGACAAAGACUGACGCUCAGGUGCGAAAGCGUGGGGAGCAAACAGG
rnacentral:rRNA from 1 species